rnacentral:rRNA from 1 species
AUGGACCUGAGGUUUUUGUCAUAUUAUUAUGCGCCUUUGAAGGUCAUUGGACUAGCCAGCAUGAGCUCUUUUACCAAGGUUGUUGAUCUGGCAAGGUUGAAUCAUGAGAACAUAGCAAAGUUUCUGGGCUAUUGCAGAGAGAGUGACCCAUUCUCGAGGAUGUUAGUCUUUGAGUACGCAUCAAAUGGGACCCUGUACAAGCACCUACACUAUGGGAAAGUGACCCAAUUCUCUUGGCUUAGGCGAAUGAAAAUAGCCAUUGGCAUCGCCCAAGGUUUAAGGUAUCUGUACACCGAGUCACAGCCUCCUUUCGCUAUAUCAGAGCCGAACUCAAUUCAGUAUAUGUUACAGAAGAUUUUACCCCCAAGGCUGACGACAUCGUCUACUGAAGCCCCACCUGCGACGCGAUGGGAGAGCUCCAACCUGUGCAUGGGUGUAGGAACGCAGAUCCGCGUCGCUAGCCUACACAAGGCCAUGGUCAACGCGCCGACGCGGGGUUCAUUGCCCGUCUUCGUCAGGUAA